rnacentral:rRNA from 2 species
ACGGAAAGGCCCCUUCGGGGGUACUCGAGUGGCGAACGGGUGAGUAACACGUGGGCAAUCUGCCCUGCACUUCGGGAUAAGCCUGGGAAACUGGGUCUAAUACCGGAUAGGACCUUUAGGCGCAUGUCUUUAGGUGGAAAGCUUUUGCGGUGUGGGAUGGGCCCGCGGCCUAUCAGCUUGUUGGUGGGGUGAUGGCCUACCAAGGCGACGACGGGUAGCCGGCCUGAGAGGGUGUCCGGCCACACUGGGACUGAGAUACGGCCCAGACUCCUACGGGAGGCAGCAGCUGGGGAAUAUUGCACAAUGGGCGCAAGCCUGAUGCAGCGACGCCGCGUGGGGGAUGACGGCCUUCGGGUUGUAAACCUCUUUCACCAUCGACGAAGGUUCGGGUUUUCUCGGAUUGACGGUAGGUGGAGAAGAAGCACCGGCCAACUACGUGCCAGCAGCCGCGGUAAUACGUAGGGUGCGAGCGUUGUCCGGAAUUACUGGGCGUAAAGAGCUCGUAGGUGGUUUGUCGCGUUGUUCGUGAAAUCUCACGGCUUAACUGUGAGCGUGCGGGCGAUACNGNCA